AUUGAACGCUGGCGGCAGGCUUAACACAUGCAAGUCGAGCGGGGGAGGUUGCUUCGGUAACUGACCUAGCGGCGGACGGGUGAGUAAUGCUUAGGAAUCUGCCUAUUAGUGGGGGACAACAUUCCGAAAGGGAUGCUAAUACCGCAUACGCCCUACGGGGGAAAGCAGGGGAUCUUCGGACCUUGCGCUAAUAGCUGAGCCUAAGUCGGAUUAGCUAGUUGGUGGGGUAAAGGCCUACCAAGGCGACGAUCUGUAGCGGGUCUGAGAGGAUGGUCCGCCACACUGGGACUGGGACACGGCCCAGACUCCUACGGGAGGCAGCAGUGGGGAAUAUUGGACAAUGGGCGGAAGCCUGAUCCAGCCAUGCCGCGUGUGUGAAGAAGGCCUUUUGGUUGUAAAGCACUUUAAGCGAGGAGGAGGCUACCGAGAUUAAUACUCUUGGAUAGUGGACGUUACUCGCAGAAUAAGCACCGGCUAACUCUGUGCCAGCCGCCGCCGUAAGAC
rnacentral:rRNA from 1 species